rnacentral:rRNA from 1 species
UACGGAGGGGGCUAGCGUUGUUCGGAAUUACUGGGCGUAAAGCGCACGUAGGCGGCUUUACAAGUCAGGGGUGAAAGCCCGGAGCUCAACUCCGGAAUUGCCCUUGAGACUGUAUCGCUUGAACACGGGAGAGGUGAGUGGAAUUCCGAGUGUAGAGGUGAAAUUCGUAGAUAUUCGGAAGAACACCAGUGGCGAAGGCGGCUCACUGGACUGGUAUUGACGCUGAGGUGCGAAAGCGUGGGGAGCAAACAGG